CUUAACCUUUCCAAAUCGGAAGCUUUAGCAACAAUAGACUUGACGAAUAAAGAAAUUACAGACAAAGAAGGGUAUCUGGUGUAUCAGCUAAUUCUACAAAGUGGCUGCCUGGGAAUACAGUGACCUAGAACCUUGACAGUGCUACAAUGCCUUCAGCUGUCUGUAAAAUCAUUCACCCCUGGAACAGUUGCUAACAGGAAAGCUGCUUGAAGGUGGAGAGAAUGUCCUCAUCGUAUUCCAUGUGAGGUUGAAAUAGGCAGUAUGAUCAUCCACCUAGGGAGAAACAGCUGUAGUGGUAUGUU